rnacentral:lncRNA from 1 species
GCAGAAAGCGUGUUAUUUCUUCCGGCACUUGUGCGUCUAAGAAAUUCAAGAGCUUUGAUGCUACUGAGGUCAAUCUGGAUGUAGAGUUUGUUAGCGAGGUGAGAAAGGAAGAGCUGGUUUUCCGUCCCCUUGGCGUAGAUGUCUGUCGAGUGUUGUGUAGUAAGUUAAAUGUUGACUGUGUAAAAGUUGGUAAUCCUGUGUCCACAGAGGUGGGGUUGUUGGGUGUUCCUUGUAGAAAAGAAAGGAUUGUGGCCGAUGGGAACUGCUUCUUCAGAGCCAUCUCUCAGGCUGUGAGUGGUUCAGAGAAGCACCAUCGUAGGAUUAGGCUAGCUGUGUGUAAAGAGUUAGAAAAGAAUGCAGAUAGAUAUCAGAGUCUUUUGAGGAGUGAGUACUCCUCUGUGUUAGAGUACAUUCAGCAGUCCAGGAUGACACGUGUCUGCAGUUGGGCCACAGAGGUGGAGAUCCAGGCGACAGCGGAUUGGUUAGGCGUUAGUGUGUUUACUUUCCAUCAGGGACGUUGGGUGAAGUAUAGCUGUAGUACUAAGCAUUUGUCAGCGGAGUGUGUAUACUUAGAGAAUGUCAUGGGACAGCAUUAUGAGAAUGUUGUUUGUGUGUGUAAGCCUGGACUGCAGAGUUGUUAUAGUUACUGUAAGGUUAGGGAAGUGUCAGGUUAUAGCAUUAGGUCUAGAAGGAUGGAUGUUGUGGUUGUAGCUAGUGACAACACAGCGGCUGGGCGUAGUAGUGAUGUAGUAGGUUCUGUGGUAGGUGUAAAGGAUUGUGAUGAGGUUGUGGAAGGUGCUAGUGAGGUAGUGUCAGGUAGAAAGUCUCUGUCCAAGUAUCUAAGGCGGAAACAAAGGACGCAAGACAAGUUGAAUAUGUUGCUUAGGGAGAAACGUCAGUUAAGGAUUAGAAAGAUAUAUCAAGAGAAUGUGGUGUUCAGGGAGAAGGCUAAGUUGUGGAGUGUAGGAAAUUAUUGUAAGAAUUUAGCCCACAGAGAGAGGGUUAAAGAGAUGGGUGUUUGUAAAUACAGAGAAAGCACUGAGCAUAGGGAGACAGUUAAGGCCAGGAGUUUGGGCAGAUAUAGGGACAGCAUGAAGUACAGGGAGAGAGUUAAGGCCAGGAGUUUGGGCAAAUACAGGGACAGCAUUGAGCACAGGGAGAGAGUUAAGGCCAGGAGUUUGGGCAAAUACAGGGACAGCAUUGAGCACAGGGAGAGAGUUAAGGCCAGGAGUUUGGGCGAAUACAGGGACAGCAUUGAGCACAGGGAGAGAGUUAAGGCCAGGAGUUUGGGCAAAUACAGGGACAGCAUUGAGCACAGGGAGAGAGUUAAGGCCAGGAGUUUGGGCAAAUACAGGGACAGCAUUGAGCACAGGGAGAGAGUUAAGGCCAGGAGUUUGGGCAAAUAUAGGGACAGUAUUGAGCACAGGGAGAGAGUUAUAGAAAGGAAUAAGAGUAGGAUUAAGAGCAAGUAUCAUGAUAGUGUAGAGUAUAAGCAGAAAGUUAUUUCUGGUGUGAGGUUAAGCAGGAAGCAGAAGGUGGAGAAGGCAGAAGAUUUUGCUUUUGUUAUGGAUCACUUUUUGGCCAAGGUCAGAGAUGGACCAGAUUUUGUGUGCUGUGUUUGUUAUAGGUUGUUGUUUAGAUUUCAGGUGGUCAGUUGUGAUAGGGAAGUUUAUAGGCGAAGUUCAGCAACAGCUGCUAUUGCAGAUAAGUGUAUAGGUGAGCGUUAUUUGCAUAGAUGUAAUGAGGAGUGUGUUGUGCCGUGUUCCUUGGUGUCAUCGCGUGGUCAGCUGUGGAUUUGUUUCACGUGCCACGGUAAGCUUAGUACAGGUGAGAUGCCGGCUGAAUGCUGGGUUAACAACUUGGAGCUUGAUCCCAUUCCAUGUGAACUGGGAUGUCUGAAUAGUUUAGAGCAGCAUUUGAUAGCUUUGCAUAUUCCGUUUAUGAAAAUGUUGGCACUGCCUAAAGGUGGGCAGAAUGGAGUACAUGGACCAGUGACAUGUGUUCCAGCCAACAUUGUUCAGACAACGAAUGUGUUGCCGCGUUCCAGUAUGGAGGGGUCUCUGCUUCAGGUUAAGCUGAAGCGGAAACUCACGUAUAAAGGGUAUUACGAGUACCAGUUUGUGGAUACGUUGCGUGUAAGACAGGCGCUAGAAUAUUUGAAGAGGACAAAUGUGCAUUAUAGGGGUAUUGAGUUUAAUGAGGACUGGGUAAACGAGUUUGUUAGGGAGGAAGAUAGGGAGACGGAAGAGGCCGAGUCAGGCAGUGAGGAUGAGGGUAGGUCACGGCAGGUUACGGUUCAGAGUGAAAUGUGUGAGCUAGCGGAAUCAGCAGACAUAGGACAGGAUGAACUGUUACAUGACAGACAACAGCACUGCAUGUUUCAGGACACUUGUCUUAUGCCUGUUGAUAUUGGUCAGGAAGCUUUAGAUCAGUAUUUUAAGGAUAUUUUGAACAUUGCGCCUGCAGAAGGGAAUAGUCCGGUAAGAAUGCUUUCUGACCACACGAAUGAGGCAAAGUGUUUCCCUGUGUUGUUCCCUGCGGGUGAUAAGACCUUCCAUGACGGACGGUCUCAUCACUUGACGUUGUCGCGUUAUCUUAAUAACCGGAUUAUGCAUGCUGACGGUCGUUUUGCGCGGAACGUCGAGUACAUAUUUUUUGCGCAGUACAUGUCAGAGUUGGACAGGGUUGUGUCCAGUGUUUCUAUCGCUUUGCGUAAGGGCAAAGGAGGUCAGAGGCCUCAACGCAUUACUGAGGACAUGUUAACGGAUGCGGACGCCUUGAAGCAGUUGUUGGCGUGUGAUGACGGGUUUAGGUUUCUUAAACCCAUUAGAGGAACUCCGGCCUUUUGGCAGUCUGUCCAGAAGGACGUGAUGGCUUGCGUGCGUCAAUUGGGUAUUCCGACGUGGUUUUGUUCGUUUUCGUCUGCGGAUAUGCGCUGGCAGAAUCUCCUGACCAGCAUCCUGAAACAGGAAGGCAGAUCGCAGACGGUAGAGGAUUUGGAGUGGGCUGACAGGUGCGAGUUGCUGCGUCGUAAUCCGGUCACCGCGGCGAGGAUGUUUGACUAC